rnacentral:rRNA from 1 species
UACGUAGGGCGCAAGCGUUGUCCGGAAUUAUUGGGCGUAAAGCGCGUGUAGGCGGCUUGUUAAGUUGGUUGUGAAAACCCAUGGCUCAACCAUGGAAGGGCGUCCAAAACUGGCAAGCUAGAGUCCCGACGAGGAUGGCGGAAUUCCCAGUGUAGAGGUGAAAUUCGUAGAUAUUGGGAGGAACACCGGUGGCGAAGGCGGCCAUCUGGGAGGGCACUGACGCUGAGACGCGAAAGCGUGGGGAGCAAACAGG